rnacentral:lncRNA from 12 species
AUGUACUGCCUCUGUUCCGGUAGUUCCUUCUCAUCCUCUGGCCAGAGUUGGUAUUUGUGCAGAACCGCGGCCAGGCUCCAGGGGCCAGGGGCAAGCCAGCCUCCCCGGGGCCCCAUGGGGCCUCCUGCACAGCCCCCCUUUCAGCCCGGGCCACCCCUGGGGCUGCUCCCCUGCUUCUGCGCUGUGUCCCCGUUGCUGCUGCCAAUUUGGGCCAAUGUGCUGGCCAAACAGCCUCCAUCAGGUGCGGUUAUGUUUGACAAUCGUUCGAAGGCCGCAAGAAAAGCCCCGAAGGCUGGGAGAUGGAUGCUGAUGGGUCGGGGCAGGCCUACCUGGUGCCCCUGGGUCUGCUACACCCUUGCGGGGAGACUUUGGGCAAGUGACUGACUCUCCCUCAGUCUCAAUCCCUCAUCGGCACAGCAAUGAUUAUCGUAGUUUUCUGCUAUGGUAAGUCAUUGAAUGUAAAGUGCAUCUGUGUUGGCUGGCACAUAGCCAGCACCCU